CAUGGUACGAAACCAUCAUGCCUUUUCGAUUCUCAACAGACAAAAUCGUUCUCCUUGUGGAUCAUCGUCAGGUCUAAUCUUUCCCACUUGAUUCUCAGGGUGAUGAAGAGCAGAACACAGUUCUGGCAAAGGAAGCCGCAUAUCUGACCCAUCCACAUGCCCUGGAACAGGCAAUGAUACAUGACUGGUGAGUACAACAUCAAUUCAAAAGUAUCGAUUCCGUUCGCAUCUAACAAACAUGAGAUGCAAAGUUUCAGAAUCAAAGAUCUUCAUGUACCUUGGUUUCAAACCCAAGCUUAAAUCCAAAGAGGAGAGAGAGGGGCAAGCCUACUAUGUAGAAGGCCACCAGAGAGAUGCUCUGAGCUACUAACCUGACAAGACCCCCUGUGUGGAGUCCAGCACCACUGACCCGAUGAGCAGCGGCGUCAUUGAAGCAAAUGCGCUCACCACCGUCUCGCUGUUGCUGAACAGCCUCGCCCACAGAUCAUGGCCGAGGCCUAGGAGCACAAGGAAUGUGACCCCCAGCAGCAGGGAGAGAGCGAGCGACACGGUGAGCGCCUUCUUCGCCUUGUGGAUGUUCCCUGCCCCCAGCUCAUUUGACACCCUCGUGCUGUUGAAAGAAACGUCAAGAAUCUUGUCAGCAGCAUUCGAUUCUCAGCUGAUGCCUGAAGGAAAAUGGCAUGACUGUUAUCAUAGCAUGCAUCACCUGAUAACGGCAGCGAACCCAUAGGUGAUCAUGAAUGAUAUCGCUUCAGUGUUUUCGCUGUCAAAUAGGCAUUGCACUGAGGUUAGAGGUUAGAAUUACAAAGACAUGAAGAAUAUCAGAUCAAAUAAUCGAAGAUGGAAGGAGGGAGAUAUACUUACCACAUUGCAAUGAUGGAAGUACUCAGUUGCGAUUGCGGCAUCAGCCCGGCAAAUAGCACCAGUAUCUCGAACGACCAGUACUCGAAGCUGCCAUUUUUAGUCAACAAAACAUCAAGGGAAUGGCCAACUUCAUGCCAGGCAGGACGUGCCGGAACGCCUCGGCGGUGAAGCCCCCCCAGGUGUCCUUGAACAUAUCCGAGAACCUCACGUAGGCCGCAAGCAUGAGGAAGGACAGCCACAGCGACACC